GUUAAAUAAAUAAAAUUACAAGUAACUGUUAUUAUAUGCAUAAAUUUAAUGCGAAAUUUAUGAAUGUAUAUGCAUAAAUUUAACAUGCACAUAUAUAUGAACAUUAUAUAAAAUGCGAAUGCAUUUCAGAUGCAUUCUAAUGUGGACACAUCUGAAAUGUGCUGGGGGCAUUAUAUUGUCAACCCCUGCUUUAAAGCAUCCAGUCCUUUCCUGGGAAAUUGCAGCUUAGCCUACUUUGCAUGUAAGUGGCAUUCGGUCUGGAGUUAUAGUAUAUCAGAGGCAAUCCAAUUAGAGAAACAGAAAAUAUAUUAUAGCUGUUUAUGUAUCCAGAUGAG
rnacentral:lncRNA from 1 species